AGCCACAGCCAUGUCACCCUGCAGCCCAAGACCGGUUACUCACUGAAGCUAAGCAGGGCUGAGCCUGGUCAGUACCUGGAUGGGAGACCACUAACGAACACUAGGUUGCUGUUGGAA
rnacentral:rRNA from 1 species